GGGGCUGAUCGGAAUUGACAGCGAUGUUCGUGGUGGGUAAGCAUGCCGAGCUUUGCGUGCAUUUGGCUCGAUAAUCUCAACGUACGAACCGUUUUUACAUGGCGAAUCCAACUUCGCUUUGGCUGCCUAAUUCAAGGAAUUAGGUGCCAUUUGUCCUUCUUCAGGAUGGUCUGUUGACCUGCUGACGGGCAUAAUCAAUAACAGACUGGCUAAAGGGACCGCCGCGACCCGAUAGUAAGAAAUAGCGGAUAAGGCUUUGCAUUGGUGGGUACCUGAACCUGGCAAAGCCCGACAAAUAAGCAGCGUACUAAGCAUGUAGAAAGUUCAUCUCUGCUUUGACUGGACCGGGGUUCGAUUCCCCGCAGCUCCACUU
rnacentral:tmRNA from 1 species